rnacentral:misc_RNA from 1 species
GGAAGGAUCAUUACCUAGAGUUGUAGGCUUUGCCUGCUAUCUCUUACCCAUGUCUUUUGAGUACCUUACGUUUCCUCGGUGGGUUCGCCCACCGAUUGGACAAAUUUAAACCCUUUGCAGUUGAAAUCAGCGUCUGAAAAAACUUAAUAGUUACAACUUUCAACAACGGAUCUCUUGGUUCUGGCAUCGAUGAAGAACGCAGCGAAAUGCGAUAAGUAGUGUGAAUUGCAGAAUUCAGUGAAUCAUCGAAUCUUUGAACGCACAUUGCGCCCCUUGGUAUUCCAUGGGGCAUGCCUGUUCGAGCGUCAUUUGUACCUUCAAGCUCUGCUUGGUGUUGGGUGUUUGUCUCCUGUAGACUCGCCUUAAAACAAUUGGCAGCCGGCGUAUUGAUUUCGGAGCGCAGUACAUCUCGCGCUUUGCACUCAUAACGACGACAUCCAAAAGUACAUUUUUACACUCUUGACCUCGGAUCAGGUAGGGAUACCCGCUGAACUUAAGCAUAUCAAUAAGCGGAGGAAAAGAAACCAACAGGGAUUGCCCUAGUAACGGCGAGUGAAGCGGCAACAGCUCAAAUUUGAAAUCUGGCGUCUUCGGCGUCCGAGUUGUAAUUUGCAGAGGGCGCUUUGGCAUUGGCAGCGGUCCAAGUUCCUUGGAACAGGACGUCACAGAGGGUGAGAAUCCCGUACGUGGUCGCUAGCCUUUACCGUGUAAAGCCCCUUCGACGAGUCGAGUUGUUUGGGAAUGCAGCUCUAAAUGGGAGGUAAAUUUCUUCUAAAGCUAAAUACUGGCCAGAGACCGAUAGCGCACAAGUAGAGUGAUCGAAAGAUGAAAAGCACUUUGGAAAGAGAGUUAAAAAGCACGUGAAAUUGUUGAAAGGGAAGCGCUUGCAGCCAGACUUGCCUGUAGUUGCUCAUCCGGGUUUUUACCCGGUGCACUCUUCUACGGGCAGGCCAGCAUCAGUUUGGGCGGUUGGAUAAAGGUCUCUGUCAUGUACCUCCUCUCGGGGAGAACUUAUAGGGGAGACGACAUGCAACCAGCCCGGACUGAGGUCCGCGCAUCUGCUAGGAUGCUGGCGUAAUGGCUGUAAGCGGCCCGUCUUGAAACACGGACCAAGGAGUCUAACAUCUAUGCGAGUGUUUGGGUGUCAAGCCCGAGCGCGUAAUGAAAGUGAACGGAGGUGGGAACCUUUCGGGGUGCACCAUCGACCGAUCCUGAUGUCUUCGGAUGGAUUUGAGUAAGAGCAUAGCUGUUGGGACCCGAAAGAUGGUGAACUAUGCUUGAAUAGGGUGAAGCCAGAGGAAACUCUGGUGGAGGCUCGCAGCGGUUCUGACGUGCAAAUCGAUCGUCAAAUUUGGGCAUAGGGGCGAAAGACUAAUCGAACUAUCUAGUAGCUGGUUCCUGC